rnacentral:rRNA from 1 species
AGGGGCAGCGGGAUUGAAGCUUGCUUCAAUUGCCGGCGACCGGCGCACGGGUGAAUAACGCGUAUCCAACCUUCCGUACACUCAGGGAUAGCCUUUCGAAAGAAAGAUUAAUACCUGAUGGUAUGAUGAGAUUGCAUGAUAGCAUCAUUAAAGAUUUAUCGGUGUACGAUGGGGAUGCGUUCCAUUAGGUAGUAGGCGGGGUAACGGCCCACCUAGCCAACGAUGGAUAGGGGUUCUGAGAGGAAGGUCCCCCACAUUGGAACUGAGACACGGUCCAAACUCCUACGGGAGGCAGCAGUGAGGAAUAUUGGUCAAUGGACGAGAGUCUGAACCAGCCAAGUAGCGUGAAGGAUGAAGGUCCUACGGAUUGUAAACUUCUUUUAUAAGGGAAUAAACCCUCCCACGUGUGGGAGCUUGUAUGUACCUUAUGAAUAAGCAUCGGCUAACUCCGUGCCAGCAGCCGCGGUAAUACGGAGGAUGCGAGCGUUAUCCGGAUUUAUUGGGUUUAAAGGGAGCGCAGACGGGUCGUUAAGUCAGCUGUGAAAGUUUGGGGCUCAACCUUAAAAUUGCAGUUGAUACUGGCGUCCUUGAGUGCGGUUGAGGUGUGCGGAAUUCGUGGUGUAGCGGUGAAAUGCUUAGAUAUCACGAAGAACUCCGAUUGCGAAGGCAGCACACUAAUCCGUAACUGACGUUCAUGCUCGAAAGUGUGGGUAUCAAACAGGAUUAGAUACCCUGGUAGUCCACACGGUAAACGAUGGAUACUCGCUGUUGGCGAUAUACUGUCAGCGGCUUAGCGAAAGCGUUAAGUAUCCCACCUGGGGAGUACGCCGGCAACGGUGCAACUCAAAUGAAUUGACGG